rnacentral:rRNA from 1 species
GCUUAACGCGAAGAACCUUACCAAGGCUUGACAUACACGAGAACACCCUAGAAAUAGGGGACUCUUUGGACACUCGUGAACAGGUGGUGCAUGGUUGUCGUCAGCUCGUGUCGUGAGAUGUUGGGUUAAGUCCCGCAACGAGCGCAACCCUCGUUCUAUGUUGCCAGCACGUUAUGGUGGGAACUCAUGGGAUACUGCCGGGGUCAACUCGGAGGAAGGUGGGGAUGACGUCAAAUCAUCAUGCCCCUUAUGUCUUGGGCUUCACGCAUGCUACAAUGGCCGGUACAAAGGGCUGCAAUACCGUGAGGUGGAGCGAAUCCCAAAAAGCCGGUCCCAGUUCGGAUUGAGGUCUGCAACUCGACCUCAUGAAGUUGGAGUCGCUAGUAAUCGCAGAUCAGAAUGUCGCGGUGAAUACGUUCCCGGGUCUUGUACACACCGAGGUCUUGUACACACCGGGGUCUUGUACACACCGG